GGGUAAUAAAAAUUGAAAAUUAUUUAACCGACAACUCGACAUGGUCUGCUUUGGAAAUCUCUAGUGUUUAACGUUGCGAAAACAAUUGAAAUCAUAACAAUAAAAUAAAUUCGAAAUUUGCGAGCGGUGGGUGGAUA
rfam:Drosophila melanogaster ultrabithorax domain bithoraxoid (bxd) gene, exons 5 and 6.